UUCGUUUUUAAAGAAAUAAUCUUAUACCUUUGUUCACAGUUCUCGUUAUUUACUAAUUAGUUCUUACGUUUAGUACUGUUGUUGUUGUUUCAUUUUGUGCUCACAAUAGAUCGGCGAUAUGUUUUGUUAUGUAACAACAAAGUAAGCAUUGUUGCAGGAUUUAUUUAAAGUUUCAACAAAAAAUUGCUAAGAAUUAUUCUGAUGACACUUGUAAAGCUAUAAAACUAUUGUUUAGUGGCUUUAGUAUAUCUAUACAAUAGCGGUAAAUCAUAAUCCUAUAUUUUAUUAUCUUUACAUAUCUGAUUUUUUCACUAUAUUUUUUUAACCAAAUCUGAAAUAUUC
rnacentral:lncRNA from 1 species